rnacentral:rRNA from 1 species
GUGUGUUCCUCAUUUUGUUAAGAUAAAACCCCACAUUCGUCUGAUCUUGGAAGCUAAGCAGGGUCAGGCCUCAUUAGUAUUUGGAUGGGAGACCACCUAGGAAGACCAGGUGCUGUAGGCG